GUUGCAACCAGAGGAGGUUUGGAACCGGGUAGUGGGCGUUGCAACCAGAGGAGGUUUGGAACCGGGUAGUGGGCGUUGCAACCAGAGGAGGUUUGGAACCGGGUAGUGGGCGUUGCAACCAGAGGAGGCGUCGGCUCAUAAAUGUAUGGAAUGGAGUGAACGGAAUGGCAGCAAACACGUCGAAGACGUGGUUUCCAUGUGGUUGAUACCAUUCCAUCGACUCCAUUAUUGUGAGCCGUCGCCCCUUCAGCAGCCGCCAAUGGUUGGAACAGACAAUGUUUACCCGCUUCUGUGAGCUUGUGUGGCCUACCACUUCACAAUAACAGGGCAGAAAUUUGACAAACUGACUUGUUGGAAAGGUGGCAUCCUAUGACGGUGCCACGUUGAAAGUCUCUGAGAUCUUCAUUAAGGCCAUUCUACUGACAAUGUUUGUCUAUGGAGAUUGCAUGGCUGUGUGCUCAAUUUUACACCUGUCAGCAACGGGUGUGCUGAAAUAGCCGACCACUAAUUUGAAGGGGUGUCCACGUGUAUGUAUGUAUGUAUGUAUGUAUGUAUGUAUGUAUGUAUAUACACUGCUCAAAAAAAUAAAGGGAACACUUAAACAACAC
rnacentral:lncRNA from 1 species